CCCGAGACGUGUCACAAACUGCACCGCGAGGCUCCAGCUCUGGGAGCUCGGGAAGAGCCUGCCUGGAGCUGGCUCCAGCUUCCCACCAUCACCUGCAGGCCCGUUUCUCUGCUCUGUGGGCUCCAGGCUGUGGGGUUGAUUUGGGAUGCUGGAUGCCUGGGAAGCCAGAGCGUGUUUUGUGUGGAUGAGCUGCCCGUGCUCUGCCUGCGCCUCUCAGUGUCCUCCCCACUCCAGCCCGAGGAUGCCUGGGAUGGUUUGCACUGCCCAGGCCUUAGCUGAGCCAUGACACCCUGUAAAUCCUCUCCUUGCAAGGCCCUUCUGACACCUCCCAGCGCUGCAGCACCUUGGAGACCCCAAAUCCUUUGGGUGGCAUCGACUUUCCCCCUCUCAGAGCCUUGAUUUUUGGAGCAGAAAUGCCACGUGGGACAGGACAUGUAUCCAAGCCUCCUCCAAGAUCCUUUCCCUGGGAUCUUUCCUUGGCCCUGAGCAGCCUGGUUGGGAAAGACCCAGGAGUCCAGCUUGCUGAGUCACUCGAUGGAAUUACAUCACCCAACAGCAUUUCCAGGUGAUGCCAAGUGUGCUUUGAGCCUCUGGGGCUGCACAAGCAGGAAAGAAAGAGCUCCUGGCACAGGACUCAGCUGGAAGGACGUCAGCAAAGGGAAAGGAUUCACUCCCCCAGUGGAGACUGGGGACACAAGGAGAUCUGCUGGGAAAGGAGGAGGUAUUUUCACUUGCAGGUCACAGAAAAAGGCAUUUGUGGCCGAGGCUGCAGCCGCCUCCCAGACAGAGAGGCCCCUCAUUGUUCGCAGGGACACCCUUGGCAACCCCUCAGGGCAGCCUGGAGAUGAACCAAGGAGGGCUUUGUGAGGCCUCAUAAAGGGGCAUUAUGAGCAGGGGGCCCCCCGGGAGGGCUGUGCCGGGUGAUCCUCCCCAGGGGGAGCUGCGGGAAGCAGGAAUCUCCAGGGGGUGGGUUGUGCUGGAGCUGGGGUGGAUCCCAGACCAAGAAGAUCUUCCUUUCCUGUGAAAGUGGUAAAAUAAACACCUGGUGAAAUCCAGUCCUAGUCGCUUCGUGGGAUAUUCUUGAUUGUAUCCCAAGCCUAAAUCAGGUCCUUGGGCUCUUGAAAGGAUUUUCCUUGCCUGUGGUCACUUGGCAGCACGAGGAAGAUG